UGCGCAGGCGGUUUUGUAAGACAGAUGUGAAAUCCCCGGGCUUAACCUGGGAACUGCGUUUGUGACUGCAAGACUUGAGUGCGGCAGAGGGGGGUGGAAUUCCACGUGUAGCAGUGAAAUGCGUAGAGAUGUGGAGGAACACCGAUGGCGAAGGCAGCCCCCUGGGUCGACACUGACGCUCAUGCACGAAAGCGUGGGUAGCAAACAGGAUUAGAUACCCUGGUAGUCCACGCCCUAAACGAUGCCAACUAGGUGUUGGGGAAGGAGACUUCCUUAGUACCGUAGCUAACGCGUGAAGUUGGCCGCCUGGGGAGUACGGUCGCAAGAUUAAA
rnacentral:rRNA from 1 species